AUGUAUGGGGUCCGGCCCCCUCUUCUGUUGGCAGACACACCUACUAUGUUAGCUUCAUUGAUGAUUAUAGUAAAUUCACUUGGAUUUACCUCCUUAAGAAACGCUCUGAUGUUUUUCCAAGUUUUUCAGAAUUUCAAAGCACUUGUUGAACGUCAAUUUGAUAGCCAGAUUCUUGCCAUCCAGUCAGACUGGGGCGGUGAGUAUGAGAAAUUAGACUCAUUUUUCCAAACUCUUGGCAUUUCUCAUCAUGUUUCAUGCCCACACGCACACCAGCAAAACGGUUCUGCUGAACGUAAGCAUAGGCAUAUUGUUGAAGUAGGCCUUGCCCUGCUUGCUGGCGCCUCUAUGCCCCUCAAGUUUUGGGAUGAGGCGUUUCUCACCGAUGUCCAUCUCAUUAAUAUGCUUCCCAGCCGUGUUAUCAACAAUGAAACACCCAUGCAACGGUUUUUUCAUACUCGCCCAGAUUAUAACUCCCUUCGUGUUUUUGGUUGUGCUUGUUGGCCUAAUCUUCACCCCUACAACACUCGUAAACUCAUGUUCCGUUCCAAGCAAUGUGUUUUUCUUGGUUAUAGUGCACAACAUAAGGGUGUCAAGUGCCUCGAUGUUUCCACCGGUCGUGUCUACAUAUCCCGUGAUUUCGUCUUUGAUGAAACCGUGUUUCCUUUUGCCCACCUUCAUCCUAAUGCCGGUGCACUUCUUCGCAAGGAAAUCCUUCUUCUUCCUUCACACUUAUCUGGCAUCCAUCACGAGGAUGAUAAUUUGGAUGAUCACUUGACUAACCCUUCUGACCAUGCAUAUGAGUCUCGUGUUACAGGACACGAUGGUGAUGCAGCAGAAAAAAAUUUGCCAGCAAAUGGUCAAGAAAUCCCUCCAAACGGGCCAUAUUUCAUGUGUUCCCCGAGUGGCAGCAUUCCAGCUCUCGAAUCUUCAUUGGGAUCGGGGCUGCCCGACCUGACCCGGUCCUCCUCGGGAUCCCCACCUUACCAGGAGGGCAGGGGCAGCAACUCUGUGCCGGAUGCGCCGCACCAGCCCGCGUCUGCCACGCGACUACGGUCGGACCCAGCGACCCACGCGCGCGCGGUAUCGGGUGAGGGAGUCCUGGAUUAG
rnacentral:rRNA from 1 species